UGAACUGCCGAAGACAGUAGGUGCCGGAAGGCGUAAGAUGAAUAUCACCUACCGAGGAAAGAUAUCGUUAAUUGAUUUAACAAUCUACUCUCAGGUCUUAGGGCUAUGAGAGUUUUUUUAUAU
rnacentral:sRNA from 1 species